rnacentral:lncRNA from 1 species
UGCUGCCUUAUAGCAUAAUGCCUAUGUUCAACAGAUUACCAAUAUAGUACUUUUGCACAUAAUUUAUGUCAAAGUUUAAAUUCAAACCAUACUGAAGAAAUGUAAGUUACAUCCCCAGUCACCACUGUAAUGGAUGUUAUCACAAUAUAACAUAAUUCUAUGAUUAUGAUACUACUUAAACAUUAUGUAUUCUCCUGUUUAUUUUGAUCAGGGCUAUUCACCAGUAUAAAUGCAUCAUGGCCAGGCAGUUCCCAUGACAGCCAUAUAUUUAGAAUAUCCAAUGUGUGCAGAUACCUAGAGGCUAGGCACCAAGGUUUAGAAAAAGGUGUUCUACUAGGAGGUAGUGGAUAUCCAUGUAGGCCAUUUCUGCUGACAUCCUAUCUCAACCCAACCAGUGAGAGAGAAGAGAGGUACAACAGGGCACACACAUCUACAAGAAAUGCUAUAGAGAGGACUUUUGGAGUGUGGAAAAGGAAAUUUCAUGUUUUGCAUUCUGAGGUUCGAAUGAAAGCAGCAAAGGUCAGUAGAGUGAUUGUGGCCUGUGCAGUCCUCCAUAACCUGGCCAUACUUUGGAAUGAACCUGAGCCACAGGAGCCUCAAGAUGAUGAUGAGCAGCCUCAGCCAGACCAAUACCAGGGACCUCAGGAUGGCCGUGGAGUCAGAAAUUAUGUGACCAACACCUUUUUUUAACAUGUUCUGGAGUGACUGUGAUUUCUGCUAUGCAUACAGCAUAUUGCAUUACAAGGAAAUAAAAUUUGAAAAUUG